UGAGUCGGACCGGUGACCGCGGCUCGUGUCCUUCGGGAAACGGGUCGAGGAAGGUCGGGGCUCCACAGAGCAGAGCGCUGGCGAGAGCCAGGACGGGGCGACCUGUCGGCAAAGGGCAACAGAGAGAAGACCGCCGAUGGCUGCGCCUCCCUUCGAGGAGACGGAGCACAGGUGAGGGUGAAACGGUGCGGUAAGAGCGCACCAGCGUCGGUGGCGACACCGGCGGCUCGGCAACCCCCGCUCGGAGCAAGGCCAAGCGCGCCGCGGGCUGCUCGCCCGAUCGGCCAGGUGGGCUGCACAGAUGGAUGGUCACCCACGGGGCCGGUUCGCCGACCCUGGGACAGAACCCCGCCUACAAGCCGGCUCACCAU
rnacentral:RNase_P_RNA from 1 species